rnacentral:rRNA from 1 species
UGGGGAAUAUUGCACAAUGGGCGAAAGCCUGAUGCAGCAACGCCGCGUGAGUGAUGAAGGUCUUCGGAUUGUAAAGCUCUGUCUUUUGGGACGAUAAUGACGGUACCAAAGGAGGAAGCCACGGCUAACUACGUGCCAGCAGCCGCGGUAAUACGUAGGUGGCGAGCGUUGUCCGGAUUUACUGGGCGUAAAGGGUGCGUAGGCGGAUGUUUAAGUGAGAUGUGAAAUACCCGGGCUUAACUUGGGUGCUGCAUUUCAAACUGGAUAUCUAGAGUGCAGGAGAGGAGAAUGGAAUUCCUAGUGUAGCGGUGAAAUGCGUAGAGAUUAGGAAGAACACCAGUGGCGAAGGCGAUUCUCUGGACUGUAACUGACGCUGAGGCACGAAAGCGUGGGUAGCAAACAGGAUUAGAUACCCUGGUAGUCCACGCCGUAAACGAUGAGUACUAGGUGUAGGAGGUNUCGACCCCUUCUGUGCCGCAGUAAACACAUUAAGUACUCCGCCUGGGAAGUACGAUCGCAAGAUU